rnacentral:rRNA from 1 species
AAAGGCCCCUUCGGGGGUGCUCGAGUGGCGAACGGGUGAGUAACACGUGGGUGAUCUGCCUCGUACUCUGGGAUAAGCCUGGGAAACUGGGUCUAAUACUGGAUAGGACCGCACUUUAGUGUGUGUGGUGGAAAGUUUUUUCGGUACGAGAUGAGCCCGCGGCCUAUCAGCUUGUUGGUGGGGUAAUGGCCUACCAAGGCGUCGACGGGUAGCCGGCCUGAGAGGGUGGACGGCCACAUUGGGACUGAGAUACGGCCCAGACUCCUACGGGAGGCAGCAGUGGGGAAUAUUGCACAAUGGGCGCAAGCCUGAUGCAGCGACGCCGCGUGAGGGAUGACGGCCUUCGGGUUGUAAACCUCUUUCGACAGGGACGAAGCUUUUUGUGACGGUACCUGUAUAAGAAGCACCGGCUAACUACGUGCCAGCAGCCGCGGUAAUACGUAGGGUGCGAGCGUUGUCCGGAAUUACUGGGCGUAAAGAGCUCGUAGGUGGUUUGUCGCGUCGUCUGUGAAAUUCCGGGGCUUAACUCCGGGCGUGCAGGCGAUACGGGCAUAACUUGAGUGCUGUAGGGGAGACUGGAAUUCCUGGUGUAGCGGUGGAAUGCGCAGAUAUCAGGAGGAACACCGAUGGCGAAGGCAGGUCUCUGGGCAGUAACUGACGCUGAGGAGCGAAAGCAUGGGGAGCGAACAGGAUUAGAUACCCUGGUAGUCCAUGCCGUAAACGGUGGGCGCUAGGUGUGAGGGUCUUCCACGACUUUCGUGCCGUAGCUAACGCAUUAAGCGCCCCGCCUGGGGAGUACGGCCGCAAGGCUAAAACUCAAAGGAAUUGACGGGGGCCCGCACAAGCGGCGUAGCAUGUGGAUUAAUUCGAUGCAACGCGAAGAACCUUACCUGGG